AACGCACAUUGCGCCCUUUGGCAUUCCGAGGGGCAUGCCUGUUCGAGCGUCAUUAACAACCAUCAAGCCUGGCUUGCCGUUGAGCCCCGCCCGUGACAGGGCGGGCUCGAAAGACAGCGACGGCGUCGGUCGGACCCUAGAUGCAACGAGCUCUGAGUAGCACUCAUCGACCUGGCCGGCCGCGCCCGUCCCACCCCUUUUUAUCUCAGGUUGACCUCGGAUCAGGUAGGAAUACCCGCUGAACUUAA
rnacentral:misc_RNA from 1 species